GUAGGUGAACCUGCGGAAGGAUCAUUAACGUAUCUCCGACGGGUUUGCGUCCCGCUCCGGCCCACAAAGCCGUUGCAGCGGUCCCGCAUCCCGCUCGACCUUCACAAACCCCACUGUGCACCUUCACGGCGGAGGGUGGGACUGGGCCCUCUGCGGCCCGUUCCGCCCGAAGUCGCAUUUUUACCAAACCCCAUUUCAAAAGAAUGACCAGCAGCCUCUGUGUUGCCUAACAAAUGUAACAACUUUCAACAACGGAUCUCUUGGCUCUC
rnacentral:misc_RNA from 1 species